CACUACCUAAGGAAAUUCAAAAAACUUUCAAUAAAAUAUCAAAAUACUUCAGAAUUAAUCAAAUUUGAGAAUUUUCUUUGAAGUAAAGAAAUUUAGUAUUUAAUAGUUUUAUAUGGUCAUAAAAUUUGAACUGUAUUUUCUCAGCACUUCUGCCAUGAUGAUGAAAAUAUUCAAUAAUUUUUGUUCCCCAUGUUAGCUUAAUUAUUAAAUCUUGCAGUCCAUUACAAGUCAUGCCAACUUGUAAGCUAAUCCUGCCACAUUCCAAUGUUAAAAUCAAUACCGAUAGAUUUCAUCAUAUUUGUUCAUAAAUAGUGCCCGGGCCUCUUGGGUUUCAGAACAACAGAGUACAUUUCGGGUGGUUCCCUUAUGAUCAGAAGUCCUGCAUCACAGAGGUCAUCAGUGGUCACUAAAUUUUACCACAGGACCCUGUUGUGACUGAAGCCCACAGCAUGCUCACUGAUCAUAACACACUUCUACCUUUCAUGUUUGAUAACAUGUAAUAAUUUAUGGCCAUAUAUUUUCUUUUUUAUAGUAGAUUUUGAAGCUAUCAUCAGGUCAUCACAACUACCCACCUAAAAAUCCCUGGCAGAACAACCUGGGGAUUGAGACAUAUCACGGUCGAAUGAUUGCCGUACCUAUCCAAAUAUCCAUCAAGAGCAUUCAAAUUUCGUCUCUGUCUGCACAAGGACCAGAACACCAAGGCUAAAACAACAGCUCUGCUAGUCAGAGGGAGGCAAUUCCACAGGGUCAGAAGAGCGUCCUGCACUGUAAGGCUGUCCGUCGGUCAGAACAGGAAUCUUAAUCUACAACAAUAACAUGGCGAUUUAGUCCGACAGUGGACUCUGUAUACUGUACUGUAAUUUAUUCUCAGAUGUUUGUAUUACUUAUUAUGCAUUGAACUAAUCUGUAUUGAAACAUACAUUAAAAGGUGUAAUUCAACAAACGUAAUG